ACAUUUGACUAUAGUCUACGGCUUUGAUUGAAAAGCAGCGAGAAUAAUAUGGAGUAAAUACUUUUUUCUGCUGUAUUACUCCAAUUUUAGCCAAUCAGGUGGAAAAAAAUUCUUCCUAUUUCCUCUGGUCACUGUUAAAAAGGAGUAAAACACACUUACAUUUUUACGGAAAAACGGCCGAGUAGUACCUGAACUAUGAUCAUAUUGCCUAUUCAAUAUAUAAACUAUUUCAGUGUGCGUAUUUGUACCUGAUCUACCAAAUAUUUGAAUUUGAUAACUGGACUUAUAAAAAAUGGCUUUUACGUACUUACGACCGACACCGUGUCAGUUAUAAUGUUAAUGUGGACCGGUUUCUUUGAUGAGUUGUUUUUUUUAGUUAAACGACGUCAUUUAAAAAAAAUUAAAAAAUAAAUAAAAGGUAAUCAUGAAUCAAACCCGGAACACCAAGCACAAUCUUUUAUAUUAUAAAACAGAAGUCAGUCGGCAAUUGUAGGUUUGACAUGUGGCAUUACACUAUUUAAAUUAAUUUUUAUUUGAUUUUCUUUCCAAAAUUUUCUCCCAUUUUUUUCCAAUAAUAUUUAUUUUUCAAAAAUCUUUAUAACCAAAACAAAUCAACAAUCUCCACUUUCUACCACUCACCUUCGCCAUCCAUCUAACGUCGAUUACUCUUUCUAUAAAAUACCCAAAUAGACGAAAUCGAUUAUAGUUUCAAUGCUAUGAAGCUCGGAGAUUUUGGAGGAUUUCCAAUUACAUAGUGAGAAAAAGAUAGGAAAAUGAUAUUCUUUACGGAGUAUCAUUGUAUCAAGUCUGAAAAUUUUCACUCCCGGCAUCAACCCCAUUGACUUGUAAUAACGAGGCAUUUGUAUAGGGAGCUUCGCUAAGAUGCAAAGUUUGUCUUAGAAGAACUCAGGAGAGAAUAAGAACAAAGUAUUGUUGAAUCAGUCUACAAUCCAGCAAAAGAAAAGCCAAAACAAAUGAAGGAGUUUUCUCUGCAACAAAAGGAAUACAAAAAUAGAACCACCCAUAAUCUGAAAACAAGUGCUUUCAGAAGAUGGAAAUGCAACAAAAAACCUAACACUACAGGGGAAAACAGUAUCAACAACUUCAAUGAUGCAACAAGCCACGGCUAAAUGGAGUACUGAGGUAAUAAUAAGUAUAUAGGACUCCCAUUAUAUAAUCACUCUCUUACUCUUUUCCAUUAUACAAAUCUGUUUUUUUUCUUCUUCUUUUUUGGACAAAUGUUUUUUUCUUCUUCCCAAUAGCUUAUUCUUAGGAAACAAAUGAACAAAAUAUUUGGCUGCGUGCGUAUAUUUAAGACAUUAGACCUUAAUACUGGUUGGAAAUAUGAACGUAAAUAUUUUAACACUUUUCUUUCGGUUAACCAUGGAAUCUUCCAAUGUUUUUUUUGAGUUUUUUCAGCAAGAAGUGUAUUGGUUUAUAACGGUCAAAUGAUAGGCUAGGUCAUCUUACCACCGAGGAACCUGAAAUUGGCAUAUUGGCGCUGACUGAAUUGAUCAAAUGCUAUUUAUUCCAUUCCUAUUAUUUGAACUGAUGUGUUGAUUAUAAAUGUAUUUGAAACCAGUUAUUUGUUGUCUCUUAUUUGAUCAAUAUAAUUCCAAAGAGUAACACUUACCUAAAAUUGUUUAUUACAUUUUACUCAAAACAUAUUAAAUUAUAUGUAAUUAUUGAUUUGUUUUUCUAAUAAAAUAAUAUUUUAUUUUAUUUUGCAAUAUGCCUAAAAAAAUUAGUCAAUCCGCGCUAUUGCGCGGGCAAAUAUCUAGUUUAUACAUGUUUAGUGAUAGAAAAUCUUUUUUUUCUUUGCAUAUGCAGAACAAGACAUAUCAUCAUGAUGGCCACCGUUUGAUUUGAAUACUUCCAUUAAGAUUAAAAGAUUUCAUCAGACUAUGUGUUGUUUAGCAAAUUUCCAGUCCAUCUUUGUAGAAAGUUUAUUCUUACAGUUUAUAUCUGAUGAAUUUAUAUUUUUUUUUGUGAAGUAAAUCCAUAAAGACGAACAGAGAUUUUGAUAUCUGAUGAAUUUAUAUAUCUUUUAGUUUAUAUUUGUCUUUGACUCUAUUUCCCGGUGCAUAGCAUCGGGAAUAAUAGUAGUAACCUUAUAAACAACUUUUACUAGUGAAGAUACAUUGUUUACUCCACAACUAUAUAACCUUUAGUAGGCGUUUCUUAGAAUUUAACACUUAUCAAUUAAACUCUCCACCUCACCGACAUUACUUUCAUUUUAUCCCUUCCCCAAUUCAAUGAACCCUAAAAAAAAAUUACGAGAGAGAUUGUGUGUAACCAUGAGGCUUUGCUUGGUUUGGAGCAAGAAAGUGAUUCUAUCGAGUUUAGUACAGAAAAAUCGUCACUACGGGCAUUCUAAUCCAUCGAAAAUGGGAUAAAAUUUGUUUUUGAGUUUCCUAAAAUGUUUGACAAAUCUUAAACUUUAUGCAUAUAUUUCUAUCUAACAUGACUAUAUGAUAAUUAGACCGAGUUUAUUGCCAUUCGUUGAAGAUUUACUAGUGUAGGAAAAAAUUUUAUUUUGUGCAUACAAGGUAUUCGAUUAAAUGUUUUUGACUAAUAUCCUUUGUUUUCUUUGUUAAAUUUCAGUGACAAAGUUGUUUGUUUUAAUGUCUGGUAUUGUGGAAAGUUUGAGACUCUUGAAAAUUGGUCUAUGGUUUAUAUCAGAGGAAGAUAAAUGGUACUUGAAUAAGAACCACAUGCAGGGGCUUGGAGAAUGCUCUGAUUGUGCCAUUAUCUAGACAAAGAUUCUGGUACAAAUUGCCGGCUGAGGAUCUUUCUGGCCUGAAGAUAUUAUGUGAUAGCAAUUCUAAUUUUGAAAAGAUGUGUGAAGUGGCAAAUUGUACUGGGUAUAUGGAGAUAUACAUGGAGAAAGAUAAAGAUGGUGAUGACAGUGGCGAUGAUUCUCGUCAUGAGAAUGGUGAAAAGGCAACUGAUAAUCUAAGUGAUGGGUCUAAUGAGGUAUGUGCUGAAGAAUCUCGUGUUGAGAAUAUAAUUGCUCACAUUGUAGAUGAUGAAGAUGAGGUGAAUGGUGAUAUAGUACGAACUCCUCCUCCAUCUAAUGGUGAAGAAGAGGAGGAAAAUCGCAUAUAUUAUGAAAGAUGGAAGAGGGAAAGUGGUGAGCAAGGAAUAAGACAAGUAUUUAUAACAGAAGAAUAUUAAUUGAAGGCAUAUGAUGUUGAGAUCUAUGAAGCUUUCAAACAGUGGAAUCCCAAUAGUUGUAUGAGUGCUUUCUUCGGCACCAUAUCAUCAUGUGAAGAUGCACUUAACAAUCAGAGUCUUACAACAAUUAUUGGAAAAUCACGAGCACUGCCCUUGGUUGAGAUGUUAGCAACUAUGAGGAGGCAUACUAUGGUGAGGAUUUCACUUAGGAAAAAGAAGGCUAGGAAAUGGAAUAAGAGACACAGUCUGAAAGUUAAUAAAGUCAUUGCCGCAGAAGAGAAAGAAAGGAAGAAUUGUAGUGUGGCAAUUCCUAGUACUAAUGGAACGUAUGAGGCGAUUGAGAACAGGAUAGCCCAUAAAGUUCAUCUGCGAUUGAGGACUUGUAUUUGUCGAAGGUGGGACUUGACGGGGAUACCGUGUAGACAUGCCUUGCAGGUGGUGUUUUUAAGAAAUCUCAACGUAGAAAACUACAUCUCUCACUGGUAUUUGACAAGCAAAUGGGUGGCGCAGUAUAGUAUUACCUUUGAAGCAACGAAUAGUCUCAAAUUUUGGAAGAAAUCAGGUGAACCAACGCUGACAGCACCACCAAAAAAGCCUUCUAUGUGUCGGAAUAAGAUGCCACAAAAGAGAAAGAAGGGGAUAAACGAGGAGCAAAAAAAGGAAAGAAGGUGGCCAACCAUGGAUGAACAAUGCAAUGCUACAGAUGUGGUUUGAUGGGACAUAACUCACUGAAAUGCAAGAAUGGAGGUGUUCGUUAAAAGCCUAGGAAGCCAAAGAAGGCAAAGACUAAAACCACAGGUGGCAUGGACAGUGAAGAAGGACCAAACCAACAAAACCAACCAACUCAAACUUCUGUUUUUUAGCUGUUUAUUGCUAGGUUGUGUUAAAAUGUUGGCUAGGAUGUUUUAGCAUGGUUUGGAGUUCUUUUGCUAUCGGAUUGUGUAGGUUUUUGGCUCUAAUACAGCUAUGUAAUGUCGUUUAUGGUACUUUGAUGAUGCUUAUUAAACAAGAUGACCUAGAUUAUAAUAUUAUAGUUCUUGUUUUGUCAAUUGAAAAAUUUAAACCUAACAAACUAACGUAACCUCACAAGAAGAAGAUAAAUAAUAAAAAUAAAUUAUAUUUCCUCUAUCUAAUAUAUGCUAUUAUAGAUUUACUAUUUGCGUGUAUUAACAAUGUUUAUUCAUUAGCAGAAAUGGUUUAGGAUGUACGAGAUCAAGCUUCAGACCCAGGUUCGACGCCAGGGAAGCCCUUUUUGUUUUUUUCUUUAAUUGAAACAUCAUUGUUUUAAACGUUUGUGGGUAGAGAUGGCAAUUCUUGGACUUGCCCGUGGGCCGGACCCGUUAAGCUUUGCUGUGGGGCGGGAUUGGGCAUGAACAUCCAGGCCCAUUUGUUUAGCGGGCCUCGCGGGAUAGGGACUGUGCGGAAUUGGGCCUCAUGCGGGAUGGGCUCAAAUGAGCCUGCGGGAUAUUGAGGACCCGCAACUACUAUUGAAGAAGCUCUAAGCCUUUAACCGUUAACGAUAAACUCAAACAAGAGUUUAAUCAGGCACAACAAAAAUCUUCUCCGUCAUUAUCAAAGUAUGAACUGCUGGCAGAGACGAACAACCAACUCAAGAUCAAAAUUCAACAGCUUGAAGGGUUACUAGGUUCUAGUUCUACCGAGAAGGAAGCUGCUAUGAAACAGGUUACUUCCCUCACCGAGCAGGACAAUCAAGUCAAUAAGAUAUUUCAAAGUACUAAGGUUGAGCUCCAAUCUGUUAUUGCAAAGCUUGAAGAACAAGUAACCAUAGAGAGGUCUAAACCUAAUACUUUGGUGUCGGAGAUUGAGAAGCUCAAGGCAGUGGCUGCUGAAAAGUCUGUUUUGGAAUCACAUGUUGAAGAACUUGAAAAGACUUUGAAAAAAAUUCUAAGCUCAGUUGAAAGAAGAGCUCAAAAAUGCAACUGCUGCGUCUGUAAAAGUGGCCGAACUCACCUCAAAACUGCAGGAAGACGAACAUAUUGCUAGUGACCGAGAUGUGCUCAAUGAGCAAGUGCUUCAGCUUUAGAAAGAGCUUCAAGCGGCUCAGAUUUCAAUUGCUGAACAGAAACAAGCAAAAUCCCAGAAGCAUUCAGAGUUGGAGGCUGCACUAAAGCAAUCACAAGAAUUAAAGAAAUAUAACUCGCCAGUGUUCCUUAAUCCUAGCACCCACAAUCAUAUCAAUCGAGCUUCCCGUAAGCAUCGCCCAGCUACUGUACGGCUCGUCCUGCUUACUUAUCCUUGUUUCCUCCUUUGUUUGGUUAAGUCUCAGUAUCCUGACGUCUUUACCUUCUAUCUUGACCAUGAAACGCUUGCCUUAAGGUCCUAAGACCGGCUGGUACGUUUCCUCGAACCAUGGCCCGUUUCCUCGAACCAUGGCCCGUCCCAACGAUCCUAUCUAGGAUCGGGGAUGAGACAUGCAGGACUCAAAGAACAGGAGAGUAGGAAGAACGGCUAUAAAGGAAGAGAGGAGGAGAGGCAAAAGGGAGAGGGGAAACCCUAGAUACUAUACACAUUAGGCAUGACCUCGAUCUCUCACUUUAUAUACUUUUGUCUUAGUUCUUAGUCAUUGUAAUCUCAUCUCUUUGUAACCACUGUAUUCGAUUAAUCUUUAUUAAUAAAAUCCAUUUUUGUCAA